rnacentral:rRNA from 1 species
UACGGAGGAUCCAAGCGUUAUCCGGAUUUACUGGGCGUAAAGCGUGCGCAGGCGGUUUUGUAAGCCAGAUGUGAAAGCCCCGGGCUUAACCUGGGAAUGGCAUUUGGGACUGCAAGGCUGGAGUGUGGCAGAGGAGACUGGAAUUCCUGGUGUAGCAGUGAAAUGCGUAGAUAUCAGGAGGAACACCGAUGGCGAAGGCAGGUCUCUGGGCUGACACUGACGCUCAUGCACGAAAGCGUGGGGAGCAAACAGG